rnacentral:rRNA from 1 species
CCUACGGGCGGCAGCAGUCGAGAAUCAUUCACAAUGGGGGAAACCCUGAUGGUGCGACGCCGCGUGGGGGAAUGAAGGUCUUCGGAUUGUAAACCCCUGUCAUGUGGGAGCAAAUUAAAAAGAUAGUACCACAAGAGGAAGAGACGGAUAACUCUGUGCCAGCGGCCGCGGUAAUACAGAGGUCUCAAGCGUUGUUCGGAAUCACUGGGCGUAAAGCGUGCGUAGGUGGGUUCGUAAGUCGUGUGUGAAAGGCGCGGGCUCAACCCGUGGACGGAACAUGAUACUGCGAGACUAGAGUGAUGGAGAGGGAACCGGAAUGCUCGGGGUAGCAGUGAAAUGCGUAGAUAUCGGGAGGAACACUCGUGGCGAAGGCGGGUUCCUGGACAUUAACUGACGCUGAGGCACGAAGGCCAGGGGAGCGAAAGGGAUUAGAUACCCUGGUAGUC